rnacentral:rRNA from 1 species
GGGUUGUGAGGUUAAGCGACUAAGCGUACACGGUGGAUGCCCUGGCAGUCAGAGGCGAUGAAGGACGUGCUAAUCUGCGAUAAGCGCCGGUAAGGUGAUAUGAACCGUUAUAACCGGCGAUUUCCGAAUGGGGAAACCCAGUGUGAUUCGUCACACUAUCAUUAACUGAAUCCAUAGGUUAAUGAGGCGAACCGGGGGAACUGAAACAUCUAAGUACCCCGAGGAAAAGAAAUCAACCGAGAUUCCCCCAGUAGCGGCGAGCGAACGGGGAGGAGCCCAGAGCCUGAAUCAGCAUGUGUGUUAGUGGAAGCGUCUGGAAAGGUGCGCGAUACAGGGUGACAGCCCCGUACACAAAAGCGCAUGUGCUGUGAGCUCGAUGAGUAGGGCGGGACACGUGGUAUCCUGUCUGAAUAUGGGGGGACCAUCCUCCAAGGCUAAAUACUCCUGACUGACCGAUAGUGAACCAGUACCGUGAGGGAAAGGCGAAAAGAACCCCGGCGAGGGGAGUGAAAAAGAACCUGAAACCGUGUACGUACAAGCAGUGGGAGCACCCUUCGGGGUGUGACUGCGUACCUUUUGUAUAAUGGGUCAGCGACUUAUAUUCUGUAGCAAGGUUAACCGUAUAGGGGAGCCGGAGGGAAACCGAGUCUUAACCGGGCGUUAAGUUGCAGGGUAUAGACCCGAAACCCGGUGAUCUAGCCAUGGGCAGGUUGAAGGUUGGGUAACACUAACUGGAGGACCGAACCGACUAAUGUUGAAAAAUUAGCGGAUGACCUGUGGCUGGGGGUGAAAGGCCAAUCAAACCGGGAGAUAGCUGGUUCUCCCCGAAAGCUAUUUAGGUAGCGCCUCGUGAAUUCAUCUCCGGGGGUAGAGCACUGUUUCGGCUAGGGGGCCAUCCCGGCUUACCAACCCGAUGCAAACUGCGAAUACCGGAGAAUGUUAUCACGGGAGACACACGGCGGGUGCUAACGUCCGUCGUGAAGAGGGAAACAACCCAGACCGCCAGCUAAGGUCCCAAAGUCAUGGUUAAGUGGGAAACGAUGUGGGAAGGCCCAGACAGCCAGGAUGUUGGCUUAGAAGCAGCCAUCAUUUAAAGAAAGCGUAAUAGCUCACUGGUCGAGUCGGCCUGCGCGGAAGAUGUAACGGGGCUAAACCAUGCACCGAAGCUGCGGCAGCGAACGUAUCACCCAAGACAACUUUACGGAGUUGACGAUUGACGGAGCGAAGCGACGUCAAAGCGUUCAUUAAAGUCGAGUUGGCUUAGGGAUACGUUCGUUGGGUAGGGGAGCGUUCUGUAAGCCUGUGAAGGUGUGUCGUGAGGCAUGCUGGAGGUAUCAGAAGUGCGAAUGCUGACAUAAGUAACGAUAAAGCGGGUGAAAAGCCCGCUCGCCGGAAGACCAAGGGUUCCUGUCCAACGUUAAUCGGGGCAGGGUGAGUCGACCCCUAAGGCGAGGCCGAAAGGCGUAGUCGAUGGGAAACGGGUUAAUAUUCCCGUACUUGGUGUUACUGCGAAGGGGGGACGGAGAAGGCUAUGUUGGCCGGGCGACGGUUGUCCCGGUUUAAGCGUGUAGGUGUGUGUUCCAGGUAAAUCCGGUUCACUUUAACACUGAGGCGUGACGACGAGGCACUACGGUGCUGAAGCAACAAAUGCCCUGCUUCCAGGAAAAGCCUCUAAGCAUCAGGUAACACGAAAUCGUACCCCAAACCGACACAGGUGGUCAGGUAGAGAAUACCAAGGCGCUUGAGAGAACUCGGGUGAAGGAACUAGGCAAAAUGGUGCCGUAACUUCGGGAGAAGGCACGCUGACACGUAGGUGAAGUGAUUUACUCAUGGAGCUGAAGUCAGUCGAAGAUACCAGCUGGCUGCAACUGUUUAUUAAAAACACAGCACUGUGCAAACACGAAAGUGGACGUAUACGGUGUGACGCCUGCCCGGUGCCGGAAGGUUAAUUGAUGGGGUCAGCGUAAGCGAAGCUCCUGAUCGAAGCCCCGGUAAACGGCGGCCGUAACUAUAACGGUCCUAAGGUAGCGAAAUUCCUUGUCGGGUAAGUUCCGACCUGCACGAAUGGCGUAAUGAUGGCCAGGCUGUCUCCACCCGAGACUCAGUGAAAUUGAACUCGCUGUGAAGAUGCAGUGUACCCGCGGCAAGACGGAAAGACCCCGUGAACCUUUACUAUAGCUUGACACUGAACAUUGAGCCUUGAUGUGUAGGAUAGGUGGGAGGCUUUGAAGUGUGGACGCCAGUCUGCAUGGAGCCGACCUUGAAAUACCACCCUUUAAUGUUUGAUGUUCUAACGUGGACCCGUAAUCCGGGUUGCGGACAGUGUCUGGUGGGUAGUUUGACUGGGGCGGUCUCCUCCUAAAGAGUAACGGAGGAGCACGAAGGUUGGCUAAUCCUGGUCGGACAUCAGGAGGUUAGUGCAAUGGCAUAAGCCAGCUUGACUGCGAGCGUGACGGCGCGAGCAGGUGCGAAAGCAGGUCAUAGUGAUCCGGUGGUUCUGAAUGGAAGGGCCAUCGCUCAACGGAUAAAAGGUACUCCGGGGAUAACAGGCUGAUACCGCCCAAGAGUUCAUAUCGACGGCGGUGUUUGGCACCUCGAUGUCGGCUCAUCACAUCCUGGGGCUGAAGUAGGUCCCAAGGGUAUGGCUGUUCGCCAUUUAAAGUGGUACGCGAGCUGGGUUUAGAACGUCGUGAGACAGUUCGGUCCCUAUCUGCCGUGGGCGCUGGAGAACUGAGGGGGGCUGCUCCUAGUACGAGAGGACCGGAGUGGACGCAUCACUGGUGUUCGGGUUGUCAUGCCAAUGGCACUGCCCGGUAGCUAAAUGCGGAAGAGAUAAGUGCUGAAAGCAUCUAAGCACGAAACUUGCCCCGAGAUGAGUUCUCCCUGAGACUUAGAGUCUCCUGAAGGAACGUUGAAGACGACGACGUUGAUAGGCCGGGUGUGUAAGCGCAGCGAUGCGUUGAGCUAACCGGUACUAAUGAACCGUGAGGCUUAACCUUACAACGCCGAAG